ensembl:lncRNA
CAACCAUUUCCGUCAAACAAGAGUUUGCUACAAGCAAGAAUUCACAUUUUUGGUCCGACCAGGAAACAAUGGUAAUGUUAGGCAUUCUGAAAGAAAUGGAUAUUAUGAAGUGCCUUGAUGGCCGUAAGAACAGGAAUGGUGACAUAUUUAAAAGAGUCGCAGAAAGAAAGGGAGAGGAAGGUUACGUACGUUCGGCUGAACAAGUGCGCACCCGCUGGAAAAUCCUAAAAACUAGCUACUAUCGGGCGAAAAAACAAAACAACACCAGCGGUUCUAAUCCUUCAUCUUUCCCACAUUUUGAAAGUAUGCAUGACAUAGUCAUCGACCUUUGUCCAACAUUUCCGAGAAUGGAGUGGACAUUGGGUUUGACGGGGACGAGGAUGCAGCGGAACACUCGAAUUCAGUGGACGAGAGUGUCAUUGGGGAUGAAGUGAGUUCUCUAGCUCGCCAGGAGGAAAUGAACGAGGAUGCAGAUGAAGAUAAUGCAUCAUCAGCUGAUAUGUCUGGUACUCAAGAGGAAAGCUUUUCAGCCACAGCACCAGAUGUCGACCCACCCAGGACACAAGUUCCAUCUCCUUCAACAUCUGCAGCCACAUCAGUCAGUUUCUGCCAACCAUCAGAAUCAAGGAAGUGUGAAUGAUCCACAAUCUCGUUGAGAUGGUUAGAAGCAACGAGAAGAAUUGCCAUCAGAAUAACCCCGACCACAGCUGACAACCAGACACACACACACACGCACGCACGGACGCACACACACACACGGAAAGAGCACAGCACCUUUGCAAUUGUUCAAUUAAAAUAAAUGUACUUUGUUCCUUACAAUU